rnacentral:rRNA from 1 species
AGGGUGUAAACGCUGCAGACUUGGUGUUGGAAGUCCUUUGGGGGCAUUCAGUGCCGGAGAGAAGUUGUUAAGUCUGCUACUUGGGGAGUACGUCCACAAGGAUGAAACUUAAAGGAAUUGGCGGGGGGAGGCACCGCAACGGGAGGAGCGUGCGGUUUAAUUGGAUUCAACACCGUAAACUCACCAGGGAAGACUGUUACAUGAAAGCCGAGAUGAAGACUCUGCUAGAUUUUCAGAGAGGAGGUGCAUGGCGUCAGUGACU